rnacentral:tRNA from 1 species
GGAGAGGUGCGCCGAAUGGUAAGGCACCCCGUUGGAGGCGGGGCGGGAGUCAAAUCCCUUGCAGGUUCGAGUCCUGUCCUCUCCG